GGGCCCGCACAAGCGGUGGAGUAUGUGGUUUAAUUCGAUGCAACGCGAAGAACCUUACCAGGGUUUGACAUCCUGCGAAUCUCUUGGAAACGAGAGAGUGCCUUCGGGAACGCAGUGACAGGUGGUGCAUGGCUGUCGUCAGCUCGUGUCGUGAGAUGUUGGGUUAAGUCCUAUAACGAGCGCAACCCCUGUCGUUAGUUGCCAGCAAGUAAAGUUGGGCACUCUAGCGAGACUGCCGGUGCAAACCGCGAGGAAGGUGGGGAUGACGUCAAAUCAUCACGGCCCUUACGUCCUGGGCUACACACGUGCUACAAUGGCCGGUACAGAGAGCAGCCACUCCGCGAGGAGGAGCGAAAUCUAUAAAACCGGUCUCAGUUCGGAUCGCAGUCUGCAACUCGACUGCGUGAAGCUGGAAUCGCUAG
rnacentral:rRNA from 1 species